AUUGAACGCUGGCGGCAUGCCUUACACAUGCAAGUCGAACGGCAGCACGGGAGCAAUCCUGGUGGCGAGUGGCGAACGGGUGAGUAAUGUAUCGAAACGUGCCCAGUCGUGGGGGAUAACGUAGCGAAAGCUACGCUAAUACCGCAUACGAUCUAUGGAUGAAAGCGGGGGAUCGCAAGACCUCGCGCGAUUGGAGCUGCCGAUAUCAGAUUAGGUAGUUGGUGGGGUAAAGGCCCACCAAGCCUGCGAUCUGUAGCUGGUCUGAGAGGACGGCCAGCCACACUGGAACUGAGACACGGUCCAGACUCCUACGGGAGGCAGCAGUGGGGAAUUUUGGACAAUGGGCGCAAGCCUGAUUCAGCAAUGCCGCGUGCAGGAUGAAGGCCUUCGGGUUGUAAACUGCUUUUGUACGGAACGAAACGGCUUUUUCUAAUACAGAGAGCUAAUGACGGUACCGUAAGAAUAAGCACCGGCUAACUACGUGCCAGCAGCCGCAGUAA
rnacentral:rRNA from 1 species